rnacentral:rRNA from 1 species
UACGGAGGAUCCGAGCGUUAUCCGGAUUUAUUGGGUUUAAAGGGUGCGUAGGUGGCCUGCUAAGUCAGGGGUGAAAGACGGUAGCUCAACUAUCGCAGUGCCCUUGAUACUGAUGGGCUUGAAUGAACUAGAGGUAGGCGGAAUGUGACAAGUAGCGGUGAAAUGCAUAGAUAUGUCACAGAACACCAAUUGCGAAGGCAGCUUACUAUGGUUUUAUUGACACUGAGGCACGAAAGCGUGGGGAUCAAACAGG